GAUGAACGCUAGCGGCAGGCCUAACACAUGCCAGUCGAGGGAGAGCUUACCUUCGGGUAACCAAAACCGGCGCACGGGUGCGUAACGCGUAUACAAUCUGCCUUUCACAUAUUGAUAGCCCGAAGAAAGUUGGAUUAAUACCUAUUGGUAUAUAAACGCGGCAUCGUUUUUAUAUUAAAGCUACGGUAGUGUAAGCUGAUGAUGCGUUCUAUUAGCUAGUUGGAGAGGUAACGGCUCCCCAAGGCGACGAUAGAUAGCGGAUCUGAGAGGUAUGUCCCCCACACUGGUACUGAGAUACGGACCAGAAUGCUACGCGACGGAGCAGUGAGGAAUACUGGACGAUGGUCGGUAGACUGAUCCAGCCACGUCGCGUGCAGAAGGAAGGUGCUAUGGAUUGUAAACUGCUUUUGUAAGGGAAGAAUAAGAGCUACGUGUAGUUUUAUGACGGUACCUUAAGAAUAAGCACCGGCUAACUUCGUG
rnacentral:rRNA from 1 species